rnacentral:ncRNA from 1 species
AAAUAAUCUGUGAAGAGAAUAGUAAAUUUAAAAACAACUUUUAGAGAGCUACAGUUGGUGGAAUGUAGUAGUUAUGUUUAAAUUGAAUGGGACUCUGAGAUUUUUAGUUAAAUAAACUAAAACGUUUAUCCUCGUUAAUGGAUAGGGUGAAUAACCUUCAAUAAGGGAAUUAAAUUCUGAAAUUAGGUGGCAACACGUUAAAAAACGUCCUAUGU